CAGCAAAGGAAACUUUAUUCAGCUUGUGCACAAGAAGCCAGCACCAUGAAAGCAAAAGGAAUGGGCUGCCUCCUGAGGGUAGCGUGUGGAUUAGUUUUAAUGAGUCUCUCUCUAGGGAAGGGUUGGGUCAGGGCAUGUAUGGGAGGGUUUUUUCUAGCACUUGCACAGUGGCUCUACAUGCUUCUUCAUACAUCCUAUGUAGCAUUAGCAUUUUAAAUCUUCAUGCCCUGGGUGUGAUUGUUAGCACUGAAAUGAGGAAGGGGUAACUGUAGGUUGGAGAUGAUGUCUAACUGCACAUGCAGAGCCCUGGGGAAGUCCCUAGCUCCCUGAGGGAGGAAGUUGUUUUUAACAGUUUCUUAGGCGUUUUGUUACUAAUUGGCUGAGAGGUAAGCUAGCACUUAAGCUUAAGGGGCUUUUGUUCUUUUCCUCCAGACCACAUUAAAACGGAACCAACCCGCCUAUCUGUCUCAACAGUGACAGAAAGCAGAACAGUGGUUUCCAAGAGAUGAGGGCAGGGGGACAGGUGGGUGAGAGGAAUUAAAAAUGAGCAUGAGGAAAUUUGGAGAGGAUGUUAUAGUUUGGAUAUUUGCUACCCUCAAAUCUCAUGUUGAAAUGUAAUCCCAUUGUUGGAGGUGGGGACUGGUAGGAGGUGUUUGGAUCACAGGCAUGGAUCCCUCAUGCAUGGCUUAGCACCAUCACCUUGGUGAUGAGUGUGUUCUCGCUCUGGUAGUUCAUGAGAGACCUAGUUGUUUAAAACAGCUUGGCACGUCUCCCCAUCUCUGUUGCUCCUGCUCUUGCCCUGUGAUAAGCCGGCUCCCUCUUCAUCUUCUUUCAUGAGGCCUCAUCAGAAGUGGAGCAGAUGCUGGUGUCAUGCUUGCACAGCCUGCAGAAUGUCCCACCAGACAUUUUAAUCUAAUAUGGAGCAUCUUCAGACCAUCAGGAAUGCCCCUUAUCUGG
rnacentral:lncRNA from 10 species